CAACAGAGGAACCAGCUGCUCCAGAACCCGAAACCCCAGCAGCUGAAGUCGAGGCCAAGGAGGAGAAGGUUGUGGAAGAAGUAGCUGAGGUGGUGGCAACCGAAGAAGAGCUGGUUGUAGAGAAGAAAGAAGAGGUGAGUACUCCUAAGGUGGCACCAGAGCCAGCCAAGGAGGAGAAGACUGUGGAAGAAGUAGCUGAGGUGGUGGCAACCGAAGAAGAGCUGGUUCUAGAGAAGAAAGAAGAGGUGAGUACUCCUAAGGUGGCACCAGAGCCAGUUGAGAAGGAAGUUAAAGAAAUUACAGAGUCUGUCAAGGCACCCGAGCCGGUGAUUGAAGCUCCUAAAGAUGAAGUUGUUGUUGAAAAGGAAGAAGAAAAACCAGUUGAAGCUGAACAGAAAGUUGAAGCAGAAGCAACAGCUGAGAAAA